GUAGUCUAUCGGGCGGCCGCUUGAUGUAAAAGCAUCAAGAGGAAAGUCCGGGCAGCGCAAAACGGCAGUCGCUAACGGCGACCGGAGGCGACUCUAGGGAAAGUGCCACAGAAACGAUACCGCCCGCAAGGGUAAGGGUGAAAGGAGUGCGGCAAGAGCGCACAGCUCUGUAUGGUGACAUACAGAGGAGGUAAACCCUGCUGGCUGCAAGUGUAUACGCUAGAGGCUUUUGGCAACGAAAGUCCUAGAUAGAUGGCCGCCACCCAUUUGGGUACAGAACCCGGCUUACAGAUAGGCUCUCGAA
rnacentral:RNase_P_RNA from 1 species